rnacentral:rRNA from 1 species
AUUGAACGCUGGCGGCAUGCUUUACACAUGCAAGUCGAACGGUAACAGGUUAAGCUGACGAGCGGCGCACGGGUUAGUAAUGCAGCGGAACGUGCCCGGUCGUGGGGGAUAACGCAGAGAAAGCUGCGCUAAUACCGCAUACUAUCUGUUGAUGAAAGCGGGGGCUCGUAAAGACUCGCGCCAUCGGAGCGGCCGAUGUCAGAAUAGGUAGUUGGUGGGGUAAAGGCUCACCAAGCCAACGAUCUGUAGCUGGUCUGAGAGGACGACCAAGCACACUGGGACUGAGACACGGCCCAGACUCCUACGGGAGGCAGCAGUGGGGAAUUUCGGACAAUGGGCGUAAGCCUGAUCCAGCAAUGCCGCGUGCAGGAAGAAGGCCUUCGGGUUGUAAACUGCUUUUGUACGGAGCGAAAAGGUCUCCUCUAAUACAGGGGGCUCAUGACGGUACCGUAAGAAUAAGCACCGGCUAACUACGUGCCAGCCGCCGCAGUAA